UGGUGGGUAGUUUGACUGGGGCGGUCUCCUCCUAAAGAGUAACGGAGGAGCACGAAGGUUGGCUAAUCCUGGUCGGACAUCAGGAGGUUAGUGCAAUGGCAUAAGCCAGCUUGACUGCGAGCGUGACGGCGCGAGCAGGUGCGAAAGCAGGUCAUAGUGAUCCGGUGGUUCUGAAUGGAAGGGCCAUCGCUCAACGGAUAAAAGGUACUCCGGGGAUAACAGGCUGAUACCGCCCAAGAGUUCAUAUCGACGGCGGUGUUUGGCACCUCGAUGUCGGCUCAUCACAUCCUGGGGCUGAAGUAGGUCCCAAGGGUAUGGCUGUUCGCCAUUUAAAGUGGUACGCGAGCUGGGUUUAGAACGUCGUGAGACAGUUCGGUCCCUAUCUGCCGUGGGCGCUGGAGAACUGAGGGGGGCUGCUCCUAGUACGAGAGGACCGGAGUGGACGCAUCACUGGUGUUCGGGUUGUCAUGCCAAUGGCACUGCCCGGUAGCUAAAUGCGGAAGAGAUAAGUGCUGAAAGCAUCUAAGCACGAAACUUGCCCCGAGAUGAGUUCUCCCUGAGACUUAGAGUCUCCUGAAGGAACGUUGAAGACGACGACGUUGAUAGGCCGGGUGUGUAAGUGCAGCGAUGCGUUGAGCUAACCGGUACUAAUGAACCGUGAGGCUUAACCUUACAACGCCGAAG
rnacentral:rRNA from 1 species